rnacentral:siRNA from 1 species
AAUGCCAGCAAGUCAACUACUUA